CUUCCUGUUAAGAAGAACAUCAGGGUGCAGGUGGCCCUGGAUGACAUACAUCCGCGCGUGCCAGAAAUCAGGGCCCUGCACCAGAGGGCGCUUCCUAUGUCUUUCACUGCUGUGAUUUCAUAGUUGCUUCCCUUUAUCAACAACAUGGGAUUUCCCCAAUGGGAAGAGAAGUGAUCCAGAGUUGAUGUAAACCAGCCACAUUCCCUGGAAAUGUGUGUAUCCCAGGACCCAGAGCUAGGCCCUGGGGUUACAAGCCAAGGCAGCGGGAUCACCACAAGACUGAUGUUAACAGUAAACCCUCCAGGGGUUUCUUUACGCAGCUAACGGGCACUGCAGCUCAGCGCUGGGCAUUCAUGAGUCAUUCAGCAGGAACAAAGAAGCUUCAGUCUGCAACUUCCACGGGGAAGCAGUUGAAACAGUGUGGGCUCACACGUUUUUUUGAAAUCUGAAAACACUCCUUCGAGGUGCCCUUAAGCACCUGACAGCAGCUGUUCUCCCUUGACAGCUGGAUUCCGAACGUAAACAUCAUUUGUCGGAACGCGUCGGAAUUGUGUGCAUGCAGAUGUAGACGGCUGUGUGGCAGGGGCUGCUGGGAAGCCGCUUUGAGACACUUUCUGCUCGUCUGUCUCUACCAGCCCAGUGUGUGUUCGCAGAUGGAUUCAUUGCGGUGUUUCAUAAGGAGGUCAAAAGUCAAGCCGGCAUCCUUUCUCUUCUUAGGGGCAACUCUCCAACUCUCGGAUUCAAUCCCCAAGUCAGUGUGAGGCGAAGACAUCUAAGUCAAAGGGGCAAGAGGAGAGCAAAGUGAAGUCCUGCAAGUCCCUGAGCCCAAGAUUCACUCAUCCAGGCCCUGGCACCUUCAGCCCGCAGCGACCUGUCUGGGAGCUGCUGCACCUGUCUCCGCUCCCUGCAUACCUGUGCCCACCUGUCCGCACCGGCACGCCUAGGGAGCAGUUAUAAGACAAAGCACCGAGAAUCAUUCAACAUUGACCACACGUUGAAUCAACUCUACAGGAUGAACCUUUCUUUCCUCUGUGAGCUGAAGUGCGGGACAGUGACAAGAGCAGAAAUUUUGGAGCGAGACAGAUGAGCACUGGAAUCCCUGCCCCACCGCUGUGUGAGAUUUGGGGCAAAAUAUGUAAGAUCCUUGACACUCAGUUCCUUUUCUGCAAAACGGAGGUAAUAAGUUGUAUACAACUUAGCAGCUGUG
rnacentral:lncRNA from 1 species